rnacentral:rRNA from 1 species
AGUGAACGCUGGCGGUAGGCCUAACACAUGCAAGUCGAACGGCAGCACAGUAAGAGCUUGCUCUUACGGGUGGCGAGUGGCGGACGGGUGAGGAAUACAUCGGAAUCUACUUUUUCGUGGGGGAUAACGUAGGGAAACUUACGCUAAUACCGCAUACGACCUACGGGUGAAAGCAGGGGAUCUUCGGACCUUGCGCGAUUGAAUGAGCCGAUGUCGGAUUAGCUAGUUGGCGGGGUAAAGGCCCACCAAGGCGACGAUCCGUAGCUGGUAUGAGAGGAUGAUCAGCCACACUGGAACUGAGACACGGUCCAGACUCCUACGGGAGGCAGCAGUGGGGAAUAUUGGACAAUGGGCGCAAGCCUGAUCCAGCCAUACCGCGUGGGUGAAGAAGGCCUUCGGGUUGUAAAGCCCUUUUGUUGGGAAAGAAAAGCAGCAGGUUAAUACCCCGCUGUUCUGACGGUACCCAAAGAAUAAGCACCGGCUAACCUCGUG